rnacentral:lncRNA from 1 species
UUGAUGCGGUUGGAUCCACUAGACCGCCUCGGACUUAAUCAUUUGGUUAUUUUUGCUUUUGAGUCCUUGAUGUUAAUUUUAUUUCAGCAUAGCCUUGCUCGGGCUAGCCGACUUGGCCUUUAUUUGAGUCGCUUUGGGUUUAGUUGUUUUUUGAAUUCAAUUAGAUCAAGUCAAGUUAAGGGGUCAGGUAGCCACCUAUAAAUAGAUGUGGUGAGCACCUAUUUCAGCAUGCAAAAAUUAAUUGAA